AUGGCCGUGCCUAGACAAGCAUCCAGCCUCAGCGUGCUGCGUGAGGAGACGGGAGGCGCUGCGGACUCGCCGGUCACUACACGAAUGCCCGGGCUCGCAGGGUCGCCUGGGUCCCCCGAAGUUCUCGUGUUACCCGCGCAGGUCGCCGAGCCUCCGGGGAAGAACCUGUGGGAGCAGAUCUGCGAGGAGUAUGAAGCCGAGCAGCCUACCUUUCCGGAAGGAUAUAAAGUGAAGCAGGAAGCUGCAGUCACGGUGAGCUCCGUCACACCCUUGGAGGAACUGGUUCCGCAUGGCUUCAACAUGGAGCACUAUCUCCCAGUGCAGCAGUUCCCAGUGACGCCUCCUGUGCCCUGUCCUCCCAAGAAGGCAGAAACAGUCGAGCCCAAGACCUGUUCUCCCAGAGAUUAUCUGGAAAUGUUUAUCUUUCCAGUUCUGCUCCCCGGAAUGGCCAACUUGCUUCACCAAGCAAAAAGAGAAAAAUGUUUUGAGAGGAAGAGAACCAAAUUCAUUGCCUGCGAUUUCCUGACUGAGUGGCUGUACAACCAGAAUCCAAAGAGGGCAGGGGAGCCAUUCACAGAAUUCUUCUCCAUUCCAUUUGUGGAGGAAUGGCUCGCGGACCACCCGAGGCCUCCAAUCCCUCUCUCCCUGCUACUGACAGAAGAAGAAGCAGCAGUCAGAAUCCAGGCCUUCUGGAGAGCCUAUCUGGUAAGGGGCACUGUGAUUAUGGAAUUGAGCAUAAUGGGGACUUGUGACACGGUGGGCUAGGGAGAAACAGAUAAAUCAGAAGUUGAAUGUCGCUCACAUACAGACCCCAGCGAUAGGACUCUCUGCAAGACGGGAAUUUGGAUUUUUUUUAAAUCAAGACUUAUUUUGCAAUUAUCAUAAAAGACACAUUUGAGGGUUGGGGCAAUGGCUCAGUUGUGCCUGGUAUACAAGCCAAGGUCCUUAGUUCGUAUGUACAGAAUCCCUGUAAAAGGCUAGGCAGGAUGGCUGUGCCUGUGAUCUCAUUGGCCAUCCAGUCUAGCUUAAUGGAUGAGAUUCACUGUCAGUGAAAAGCCUUGUCUAAAAGAGGAAGGGGGGAGGAGGAAGGGGAGGGGGAGAGGAGGAAGAGGGGGAGGAGGAGGAGGCGAGCCAUUGAGAAGACAUGUGGCAUCAACCUCAGGCCUACACACACGCUCAUGCACGUAUACAAAUAACCUUCCAACUUUUAAAAGUUGAAUUUGCCUGGCCUGUGCUACCCUAAAAAUAAUAUUGCAUGCCAGACAUGAUGGUACACACCUGUAAUCCCAGCACUUGGGAGGCAGAGCCAGAAGGACCACAACUUCAAGCAAGACCAGCUUGGGGUGAGGAAGGAAGACAGACAGACAGACACCCUGCCUCAAAAAAAAAUCACACAAACAAAAAGCAAAACACAGGCAAACCCAUUGUUUUAGAAGAGUGAGAAAAUUCAGAUAAAACAAAGUACCAACCCAUCGACAGUGUCUCUGUCCUUGCACCGACAGUGUCCCAACCCUUGCACUGACAGUGUCCCUGUCCUCACACCAACAGUGUCCCAGGCCUUGCACCAAUAGUGUCCCAGCCCUUGCACUGACAGUGUCCCAGCCAUUGUCAUUGGUUGUGUGUCCUGUUCAAUACAUUUGAAACCUUAACAUAUGGAAUAGCCUGAACAGGAGAAAAUCACCUUUUGUUUUAUAACUGGUCUUUUCAAACCACUUUCCUGUUUGAGACAUUGAGAUUAUGUCAAGAUUUCUAUGAUCACAGUCAGCAUUGUGACACCCGUGGGUAGCCAUGUUUGCUACUUUUUCUGGCCACUGGAUGAAGGAAAAUUCUUGCAGUAGAUUUGUAGGUCAAAGGCGAGCACCUUAAGAGUUCCUGAUCCAUGCUCUUGUUCAGUAUUUUCAGCAAAGUUGUGCUUUAGAAAAUGUAUUGCCAAAGACUUAUCGGAGUGCCACGUGUCUUUGUGCUCAAUAGUACACAGUCUCUCCAGUUGUCCGGUAAUCAGAAAGUGACAUUAGCAAGCUUCCAGGUGAAGGUACAGCCCCCAUCCCAGAGGAUGGUGCCCUUCCCACACCCGGGAGGCCAUUGGCAGUACUGUUUAGAUUCAACAUCUUCCUAACUUUUAGUGCACAGUCAGCAUCCAGUACGUCCAGCAUAGUGCACGUGUCACUGCCAUGUCCAUUUCCAGAGCCUUCCAUCGUUCUCAGGUGACACCUUCCACAGGAAGCACCAACUCCUCGUUGCCUUCUCCCCUCCCAGUUCCUAGCAACCACCAGCCUGUUCUGUGUUCAUGGAUCUCACUACUCUAAGAACUUCACUGUGAUGGUGACUUCUCUGUGGACAUCAGAUUUCACAUGUAGGAGUUCAGUAACCGAGGAGACACCUCUUGUACCUGCCAUGGAGUAUUUCUAGAAGUUUAGUUGAGAUGGAAGGGCCAACCCUGAAUGUGCACAGCACCAUCUAAUGGGCUGGGGUUCAGGACUGAGUAAAAAAGAGAAGGCAAAUUCAUCUCUCUCUGCUUCUUGACUGUGGGUGCAAUGCUGCCAGCUGCCCCAAGCUCUUGCCACCAUAACUUCCACAACACAAUGAACUACACUUUCAAAUCGUGAGCCAAAAUAAGCUCUUCCUAUUUGUGCUGCCUAGCUAUGUGUCACCUUGACACAAGCUAGAGUUAUCUGAAAGGAAGGAACUCAAUUGAGGAAAUGUCUCCAUAGGAUCUGGCUGUAAGGCACUUGCUUAACUAAUGAUUGAUGGGAAGGGCCCAACCCACUGUGAGCAGUGCUAUCCCUGGGCUGGUGGUCCUGGGUUCUUUAAGAAAGCAGGCUGAGCAAGCCAUGGGGAGUUAAGCCAGCAUUCAGCACUUCUCCAUGAACUCUGUAUUGACCCCUGCCUCCAGGUUCUGGCUGUGCUGGAGUUUCUGUCCUGACUUCCUUCAGUGAUGGACUACAAUGUGGAAGUGAGCCAGAUAAACCAUUUCCUCCCUGGGUUCCUUUGGUCAUGGUGCUUCAUAAGACAGAGCCUUAUGUUGCUGUUGUCAGGUGUUUGUCCUGGCGACAAGAAAGUAAUACACUCCGGUUUUGCAUAAGGGGGCCAAUGCAAUUCCUGUUCUGAAGAGACUCACUUCACCCAGUACAGUGUCCCCAAGCUUCAUUCACAUGUAGAGUGUGUGUGUGUACACAGGGAGGCUAGAGGUCAGAGUCAGCUGUCUUCCUCCAUUACUCUCCACUUUGGAGACGGUGUCACUCCCUGAACCUGCAGCUCACCAUUUGGCUAGACUAGCCACUCAGCCAGCUCAGGGAUUCUCUGGCCUCUGUCUCCCCAGCACUGGGAUUGUUGGUGUGUGUGUCAUCGUGAUGAGCUUUUUAUGUGCGUGCUGGGAACUCAGAAACUCCUGCUUGUGCAACAAGCACUUUACUUACUACCUCCCCAUCCCUAGUUUUAACUCGGAGUUCAGCCAAACCAGAGGUCCUUCAGGGGAGGCAGUUUCUGUCACUUAUAACCUAGAGUCCCAACAUCACAGUUCUCAGUUUACGAAAGAUGUCCGAUGCCGCCACUUGCACAUGAAAGCUUAUUAAAACUGAUCUUUCUCGUGCACGCACUCUCAUUCUUUUCUCUUUCCUGAAACAGACUCUCACAUAGCCCAGGAUGGUCUCAAGCUCAUUAUGUAGCCAAGGAUAUGAAAUGGCUCAGAUCGCUUGUCUUCACUUGUGGGUGCUGGGAUUGCAUACGUGUCUCAACAUACCUGACUUUGUAUGGAGCUAGAGACCAAAAUUCAGGCCUUUUUUAAUGCUAGGCAGGCAUUCUACCAACCAAGCUAUGUCCUGCAGCCACACUAUCUACAUUUUAAAAGCAUUUUUUACAGUUAUUGCAAGUGUGAAUGUGUGUCCGAGUGCGCACAUGUACCUUGUGUACACAUAUGUGCCGUGGCAACCGUGUGAUGGCCAGAAGACAGUGUUUAGGAGCUUGUUUGUUCCUUUCACCUUGCGGGUUUGGGGGAUGGAUCUGAAGUCGUUGGCUUGGUGGCGAGUGUUAGUUAUACAUACCCAAUUAUGGAAAACUAAAUGGCGCAGGUCACUCGUUGGUAUUUAGCCUCCUAGAAUGUUUUUAUUCUUAUGGGAAAUUUUACUUUGUUUUUACAGUUAGGUGUGCUACAUGCUCUGUGCCCAUGCUCUCCUCUUACCAGCAGAUGAUUUUCCUCGUCUGCACACAAACAUGCCACCCCACAAAUGCUGAUAGUUCCACGAUAUGCACCUAUGUUUCAUUUCUGUGAAUAACUUGAACUAGAAUCUGCUGAACUGUAAGCAAUUCAACGUUCUAUUUUUGUCUACUUUGUAAGUUUUGAUUUUAUGCAGAAUAUCCUUGCUCAUGUGUCUACACACUUGUCUGAUAUUUAUUUGUCUGAAAGGUUAAUUACUGGUGGUGGAUGGAAUUCAUAGCUUAAGAAUCUUUUUUUGCGAAAUUACCCUACAGAGGCUACAGUCUACUGUGCCUCAAGUUUUGAUGGCUCAGUGGAAGGAGGAAGGCAGAGAUGAGGAGAAAGCCUGAAGCAUGCCUGGGGACAAUAGAGUUCUAAGGACAUCACGCUGAAGAAUAAGGAGAGUGGGCCCUUGCAGUGUGUAGGGUGUGCACCAUACAACUCUCAGGCUGAUCAUUCAGCUCCCCAGAGUGCUGAGCUCUGAGCCUUUGAGAAGCUUAGAAACUGGGGGUUGAGGCUGUUUGUUCCACUAUUUUUUCCUUAACCUCACUGGCUUUGCCAGCCCCUAACCCUACGCUUAUGACCCUCCCUUUUCUCAAUAGCUGGGGGCCCACUGAGGGAGGGAAAGGCCAUCUGUGUGAUCUAGAAGUAACACUUUAGUCCAGAAUCUGGAUUUUCUUCCUGAAGCCAUGUAGGAUCUGAGAUCCAAUAAGGCAUAUACACAGCUAAUACUCAACGGUGGAGAGAUCAUGAAAUAAAUACUGCGCAUUUAGUCAAUGCACAAGGAUUCAGACACCGAAAGUGGUGAGAUUGGCUCAUUUGCCCCUGACCCCAGCCCCAGUGCUGUAAUGCACUCUUGAAAUCUUAUAAAUGAGUAACUGAAUCCUCAAAUCAUCUUCAAGAAUGAAUAACGAACAAGUUUAAUCCACUUUAUUAGCCCUCCUCGGUGGUUUAUGCGGGCACACAGCCAUGAGCUUCUGUGGGGAGUUGCCCAUGCAUCAAGAUCCUUGACCUUAGCAGCUGCCCCCAUUAAUCUUGCAGAGAUGGCACUUGGGAAGAAGAUACGGUAAUAUUUGGGUGGUAUGCAUUUACUCUGUAUAAGUGCGUGUGUGUUGGCGGGGUGGGGGGAUUCAUUUUAUCAAAGGCAUGUGUGACCCUGCUCUUCUGUAAGCUUUGCAAUGAGAGAAACUGAAGGGGCUGUUAGGAUGACAGCCCCCAUGCAGGCUGGACCCCAGGCAUGAGUUCCAGGUUUAUCCGAGGGUCCUGUAGAGAAGACGGAAUCUCCUUGUGACAGCUGACAUCUGUCAGCAGGUGCGCAGAUCCUGUGUCCCAAAGUCAGACGUGGGAUUGUGCAGAAGGAAUGCUAACACAGGGAGGCAUGGGUGCUUGUGUCAGGUUACAGCUGGUCCCCUCUGGUCCGACACAGAGAAGCGUGUGGCUACUUCUCGGAAGCUUCAGUUGCUGGCCGUGCUCUUUGUGACUUGAAGAGCAAUUUUGACCCCAGCUUGCUGGUGAAAUCGAAUUCCUAGGAUGGAUUUCUCCUCAGUGAAUCCAUGUGUCCUUUGCCGACUUCUGGGUGUGGUUUCGAUGCAUCUGACUAACACACACCUUCCCCAUGACCAGACUCACUCACAGAUAUCUUUCUUUAGGUCAUCACAUACAUAGCUGUUGAAAUGACAUAUUUGAGUUUCUAUAGAUAGCCAUGAUAUCAUUAGCUAUAGUGUUAUUGUGGUUGUUGGUUCUGUUUUCCUUAGUAUGGCACCACCCUGCCUGCUGUUGGGCUCUGGGAUUACCAGCAUGGAUGACCACACCUGACUCUAGUCUCAGUCUUUGUUGUUGUUGAGGACCUGGGGAUGUAUCCCAAUGUCACUAGCUUAGCUGCAGGGUUCAGUCCCCAGAAAUGCAGGAGUACGGAAAAUAUCACCUGUUGGGCAGAGAAGUUGUCUGGAUGAUAAAGCUAAUCUGUCAGCACUGUGGACAGCGGUAUGGAUGGCCUUUAAAAACUUGUCUUUAGUCUGGGUCUUGUAGCUCAAGUUAGCCUAGAAGUCUCUCUAUAGCCAAGAACGGCUGAACUGAUGAUCUUCUGGCCUUUUCCUCCCGAGUGUUGGGAUUAUAGGAUGUGCUACCACGCCCACUUUAUGCAGUGCUGGGGGUGGAGCCCAGGGCUUUCCCACAUGGGAGGAAGCACUCUGCUAAUGGAGCUUUUGCCCCAGCCCUCGUCUUCAUUUUAAUUAAUUAAUUAGCUAGUUAAUCAGGUUUUUUUGAGACAGUGUUUCUCUUUGUGUAGUCUGGCGAUCCUGGAACUAGCUCUGUAGACCAGGCUAGCCUUGUGCUCACAGAGAGCUACCUGCCUCUGCCUCUCAAGUGCUGGGAUUAAAGGCCACCACCACCCAGUCCAUUUUUAUUUUUUAAAUUAAAAACAUUUUUUCGUGCUUUUGUGAGAGCUUAUAUGUUAGUCAUGUGGAGGUCAGAAGACAAUUGGGGGAGUUGAUUCUCUGUUUCCACAGUGUAAGUCCCAAUGACAGACUUGGCUUGUUGGGCAUGGUGGCAGGUGAGCCAUCUCACCAGUCCCUUGUUUUUGUUUUUUAAGACAGAAUCUCACUCUGUAACCCAAGCAGGCCUCAAACAUGUACAUCCUCCUGGUUGGCCUCCUGAGUGCUAGGAUUACAACCAUGUCACCACGUGUGGCUGAAAUUCAUGUUUGAACAUUUUAUAACAUAUUUCCAAGGUUAAGGCUGUCUAUGUAAGUCUCACUAAGCAAGUGGAAGAAAACCUGGAACUUCUCUGCCAUGUGGAGAGACACAGGACGGUGCAGACACAGAUGCUUCCGUUGGCAGCAGCAGUCCCGAGGGUGGCCUUUCCCACAGCCCACUCAGAUGGACGCCUCACACCUCACCGGCUUGUGGCUUCCUUUACUCUUUGUUCCAUGUGACAAACCUGCACAGAGGUGCUUUUCAAGAACAGAGCUGAGGGAGGGGUGUAGAAAGAUCUCGAUGCCGUGCCGUGAGGACCCAGAAGAUGCUGUGACAAGAACAAGAAUAUCAAGAAUAGGUGUUCGUGGUCGAGGGUGGGUGUGGAAACUCCUCUGAAUGAACCUCCUCCUGCUGGGAGGAGGGAGGCUUACAUGACUCACUUGUAGCCUCUCCUUGAGUCAAGAUGAGCAAGUGAAGGACUCUGUGAGUAAAGUACCUUCCAGGCAAGCACAAGGACCUGGGUCCAGAUCCCUGUCACCCAUGUAAGAAAGUGGGCAUUGGAUGGUAAUGCAUACAUACAUGCAUUUCCAAAGCUAGGGGUGUGGAGCAGAAAGAUUCUCAGAGCUCUCUGGCCAGCCUGACCAAACUGGUAAGUUCCAGGCUCAGUGAGAUGGGUGGACAUUGACGGAGGAAGAUACCCAAUGCUGACUUCUGGCUGGUCUUCACACCUACAUAUGUUCAGGCACACACACACACACACACACACACACACACACACACACACACACACAAUGUGAACAUCACCAUUCCUGGAAAAUAAACACCCUUCUAAGUGUAUAUUUCCCAUCUUUGCUCAUGUGAACUUUCAUAUAUAUAAUUCUGCAGUUUAUAAGUAAAGGAUGCAUUUACUUUCCUGGGCCAGUAAGAGAGUUCGGUGGUUAAAAGCACUUGUUCUACAAGCCUGGAACCUCCAGUGGAAGGAAAACCAGUUCCCAAAGUUGUCCUUUUACCUCCUGUGGGCUAUGGCCAGUCCAGGGGUACCUUUCCAGGUCAGCGCACAUCUGUACUGAACCUGGUUUUUGUUGAUUGAAUCAGGGUUCUACUGGACAGCUCAGGCUGGCCUGGAGGUCUUGAUCAUCCUGCCUCCACCCCUUAAUUGCACACCUAGUUUAUACUGGUGCCGGGAAUUGAACCCCUGGUUUUAUGCACACUGAGCAGUGCUCUGCAUGCUGAGGCACAUUCCAGUCCUCGUGCCUUCUCUCGAUUGCCUGGCUUCUCUGUAUUUCCGGUCUGCUCUUGUGCUUUCUGGAGCUUCCUUCCCUUCUAGAGAAGGUGUCCCGUGUCCCUGGUGCAGCUGCUUUAGGGAGGGCCUGGUGCAUUUCCUCCCUUUGUGUUGCUUUUCAGCUUCUCUCCCUCUUCUUUCCUCUGGGGACAGUAACACGGCUAGGUGAACCCAUAUCACAAAAACAGCACUUCCUUUCUCAUGCAGGGACCCAGGUGAGGAUAGAUAGCAGCCGACUCAGGGGCGGUAGGAAACAGCUUUGUGUGAGUCACACUUAUCUGGCCAAUUGGCGGUAUGCUGCCUAGAAUACUUAUUUCAGACAAUUGUUUUUAUUUUAUAAUUGAUUUGAAGUUAUUUACAUUUAAGUUUUCCCAGCUAAUUUAAACUGGUAUAGCAGAACAGUUUAGCAAGUGGACUCUACAGUCAGACGGUUCAUUCACUAAUAACCGUCCUUAGCCGGUAGGCGCUCUGCUUUAAACACUGCAUGUCCUUUGGGAAAUAAGACAAGAUCCCUGCUUGCAUUCCUAGGCUGUCAGUCGGCACAAACAAAUAGUUAGUAGAGUGUGAAGAAAUGAUCCUCCUGUGGUGGUGUACACUUGUAAUCACAAGAAUGAGGCAGGGACUUACUGAGAGUUAAGGGCCAUUCCAUGAAUCCUAGCACUUUGAAGGCCACCCUUAAUCCUUGGAGAGUUCCAAGACAGCCCAAGACACAACACAGCUUGUCUUUAAAAGGGGACAAGGGUGCUGGGGCAGUAGCUUAGUUAGUAAAGUCAUUAUUGUGAUGCAUGAGGAUCUGAGUUCAAUCCAUAAAACUCGUGGCAAAGGGCUGGGUGUGGUGACACCCCACUUAUAAUCCUAGCACUCAGGAAGUGGAGACAGAUAGAUGAGCUCUCUGGUCACCCUCCGUAGCCUGUUUGAAUGAGUUUGAAGACAGUAAGAGACCCUGUCUCAAAAAGCAAGCAAGCAAGCAAAUAAACAAGAAACAAAAAUCAAAACAACAAAUCCAGGAGGUUGUCCUCUUGACUCUCUACAUACAAGUGCGUGUACAUAUGCAUGAACACACACACACACACACACACACACACACACACACAUACACACACACACACACACUACAGUAGAGAUGCAUGGGGUGUAGUUCAAUGAUAGUGCAGGUGCUUAGCUCAAUGCCCUGGGUUUCAUCUCAAGCAUCCUGACCCCCCCCCAAAGAAAAGUUUAUCAGCUACUGUCAAAAUAAUACCACUUGGGGCUGGAGAGAUGGCUCAGUGGUUAAGAGCACUGACUGCUCUUCCCGAGGUCCUGAGUUCAAAUCCCAGCAACCACAUGGUGGCUCACAACCAUCUGUAAUGAAAUCUGAUGCCCUCUUCUGGUGUGUCUGAAGACAGCUACAGUGUACUUAUAUAUAAUAAAUAAAAUAAAAAUAAAUUAAAAAAAUAAUACCACUUAAUAAAUCAUCCGGACCCCUUGGCCUACAAAGUGAGUCUCAUCUCACUCGUAGUAAUCAGGCAGGUUGCAACAAAUUUAGACUGUAACACAAACUCUAGAGAUUAUGUUCUAUUCAAUUUUGUUCUAGAGCCUUCUGAGAUCAGCAGUUUACUAGGGGCAUGUGCUUUUCAUAGCAGAGUUUGAAAGCUUCAGAGGGGAAGAACAAAAUACACACCAUGUGUCCUGGCUAGUUUUAUGUCAACUUGAUAUAAGCUAGCAUCAUCUGAAAGGAAGGAACCUCAAUUGAGAAAAAUGUCUCCCUAAUAUCAGCUGUAGUCCAUUUUCUUAAUUGGUGAUUAAUGGGGGAAAGCCCAGCCCAUUGUGGGUGGGGCCAUCCCUGGCUGGUGGCCCUGGGUUCUCUUAAGAACGCUGAGCAAGCCUUGAACCAGCUGGUAAACAGCUUCGCUCCAUGACUGUUGCAUCAGCUCCUGCCUCCAGGUUCCCAGCACUGCUUGACUUCCUGUCCUGACUCCCUCCGAUGAUGAACAGAGAUGAGGAAGUGUAAACCAAAUAAACCCUCCCUCCCCACAUUGCUCUGGUCAUGGCGUUCCAUUGCAGCAUUAGUAACCUUGACUAAGGAACCAAGGAUCCCAGGGCCUAGGCUCAUCUCAAGGUCAAACCUAGCAGCUAGGAGAGAAUCAGAACCCUGCUGAGUAGUUACUUUGCUGCAAAGUACCACAGACAGAAGAGAGCAAAUGAGAGGGCCAGAGAAUAAGGGAGGCGACUCCUGCAGGUGACAGGAUGGUUGAGGAGGCCACUCUGAGAGGCUGUAGUUUGAGCAGAGACCCAAAGCAAGCGUUGAAGCACAAAGAGGGGGAAAGUGCUCAGUGUAGGUUAUGUGAGUGAGCUGGGAUGAGUGGUCCAGGAGAUGAAGAAUUAUUCAAAGAACAGACCCCCUAGUAUUAAAUGUCAUUAGGCUGACAGAACUUGGGGUUUUAUGAUUUGGGUAUAGGAGUCUCAUAAUCUCACUGACUUCUUGAGGAGAGUGGUAGCCUCCAGAUGCAGUGCCCCCCCUCCAAAUCCCUGUCUCUAGGGUUUGUAUAUGUACUGUGCACAUGCACAUGAUGUGCAACCAUGCAGAGGCCCAUUUCCUGACCUGGAACUAGCCACAUAGGCUAGGCUGGCUGGCUUGCAAGCCUAGAGACCCUCUUGUCUCUGCCUCUCCGGCACUGGAGGCAUAAGUACUUGCCACUGUGCCCACUUUCUGUGUGGGUUCUAGGUAUGAAACUGGGGUCUUACCAUCUAAGCCAUCUCCGUAGUCCACACCCACUAGGAUCUACACAUCUACGGAGACCUUUACUGUAUUAUACCACAGAAGGUAUGUGUGACCCUCAUAGUCCCACAGAAAUAUCUUAACCUAAUCUUGAGGCUGGGUAGUGAUGACACAUUCCUUUAAUCCCAGCACUUGGGAGGCAAGCAGAUCUCUAGAAUUUGAGGCCAGCCUGGUUCACGGAGUGAGUUCCAGGCCAGUCAGGGCUCCACAGAGAAACCCUGUCUCUCUCUCUCUCUCUCUCUCUCUCUCUCUCUCUCUCACACACACACACACACACACACACACACACACACACACACACACACUCACACACACCAUAUAACGGCAGCAUCAGCAGCAACCACCCAACAGUGCCCACUAUUAUUUCUGUGGCAGAAAAGGAGAAGCCAUGUGGCGAUGUUGCCUUCUUGCCAUCAGCUUGUAGUCUACACCAGUUGAGUCUUCACCUGGGGCUGGGGCUGGUUGGAAGGCAGGGGGCCUUAAGCACCACUCCAGAUCUCCUGAGUCCAAAGUGACCUCUGUGGUUCUCUAUUAUGUGGUUUUUGUUAUGCGUAAUAAUGGCUGUCAUCAUGACAUUUUAACACAUGUCCAUAAAGUAUUUUGUUCCCAUGCAUGACCCAUUACACUCUUGUCCCCUCCCACCUCUCCCACCUGAUUCCUUUUCUCUUCCCACCUCUGCCCCUUCGAUUUUCCCCUCCCUGCUCCCUUCAUGUGAUCCUGUGAGUUUCAUAAGGGCUGCUUCCAGCAGCAUAGACACUUUACCUACCAGUGGCCACACCACUGAGGAAAAUGUCUCUCCCUCCCUAGCAACUAUUGACUGCUUACAGACCUUUAGGGAACCCCUCCCACCAGCUACACAGUUUUAUUUUUUGAGGCUAUGCUCAGUAGGUAGUCAAAGCUGGCCUUGAACUUGUGGACCUCAUUCCCAUGCCUCCCAAACACUGGAAUUAGAGGACAACAUUAUUAUUCCCAGCACGCAUACACACAAGUCUGUUUCUUAACACAGAAAGAACAGCUUGGGUAAAGAGGUUUACUUCUUAGCUUGCCAGCCUUUCACUAUUUCAAUUAUUCAGUUUCUUCUCCAUUCCUGAAAAAUAGAGUCAACAAUUGUACUCGUACCAUCCCCCACCUCUCAUCCCCACCUCUCACCCCACCGUAUCCUGUUAGCUGUGAGGGUGUAGCUUUGUUGAAAGCUGUGACCAAGCAUUUACUCCUAGAAGAAUACAUUCCUGGUUGUGUCUUGAUGGUAGUCCUUAAGUACUUGGUUUCUGUUCUUUUGUUUUUUGUUGGAUUUUUUUUUCCUGCCUGAAAAAAGCCUGUUAUUUUUCAAAACAUUCUUUUGCUCAGGAUAGAAACUUCUGCCUGUGCCCAGCAGGACUCUGGUGCCCCAGAAAGAAAGCACCCAGUUGCCGUGGUCCCCAUUCAGGCCUCUUUCUUGGGGCAAUGUCUGGCCACUCAGCAGGCUGAAAUAGGCCACAGUACUAUAAAUAGGGGCCUUAGGCCGCUCUGGGAUCAGGUCUCAGGCUAGGUUCCCCCUCCCCCUUCCCUCUCCAGUCCCUUCAGUCAUUUAAAUAAAACUACAAGUGCGUUUUCAGGUAUCAGUGCCCCCAAAGCUUGUCAUCUUUGACAGGCUGUGAGAAGCUCCUUUCUGUCUUGUAGGAUCAACUCCAGUAUGAGAUGAACCCCAAAUGACCUAGGAUUUGCAUACAAGCCAAUGUGGUGGGUUGGUGCUGUCAUGAGUGCAGUGGGCUGGUGCUGUCAUGAGUGCAGUGGGCUGGUGCUGUCAUGAGUGCAGUGGGCUGGUGCUGUCAUGAGUGCAGUGGGCUGGUGCUGUCAUGAGUACAGUGGGCUGGCAGUGCCAUCAGUGCAGUGGGCUGGCAGUGCCAUCAGUGCAGUGGGCUGGUGCUGUCAUGAGUACAGUGGGCUGGCAGUGCCAUCAGUGCAGUGGGCUGGUGCUGUCAUGAGUGCAGUGGGCUGGUGCUGUCAUGAGUGCAGUGGGCUGGUGCUGUCAUGAGUGCAGUGGGCUGGUGCUGUCAUGAGUGCAGUGGGCUGGUGCUGUCAUGAGUGCAGUGGGCUGGUGCUGUCAUGAGUGCAGUGGGCUGGUGCUGUCAUGAGUGCAGUGGGCUGGUGCUGUCAUGAGUACAGUGGGCUGGCAGUGCCAUCAGUGCAGUGGGCUGGUGCUGUCAUGAGUGCAGUGGGCUGGUGCUGUCAUGAGUUCAGUGGGCUGGUGCUGUCAUCAGUGAAGUGGGUUGGCAGUGUCAUCAAUGCAGUGGGUUGGUGUUGAAAUUCGGGCCUCACAAGCCUAAUGCUGUUCUACCUCCUUUGCUGUGUGGCCUUGGAUUGGCAUUGAGCUUCUCCAAGCCUCACUCUCCUCAUCUACAAACUGUAGCUAGCAAUAAGACAGAAUUCUCGUUCCUCUUUGAGAACCCUGACUUUCAAACUUGACCAUAUAUUAGAACACCCUGAAGUCGCUACUUCAGUCAGGAAUAGCAUGGCAACACUGGAGCAGGUCUUCACUGUUGCUUGGGUUCAAGUUCUGGGCUAUAAUACAUACUGGUUUCAGGGCAUUAUUUGCCUGAUGGAGGCUCAGUUUCUUCUUUGAAAAGGGUGAAAAUACUGCCCACCUCACAGAUUUCUUCUGAGAAUUAAUAGUGUGCACAUAGCUCCUAAAACAAUGGUCACAGGUCCCACAGUAGAAACCCUCCAGAACUGUCAGCUAAGUGUGGACGAGAGGGAAGGGCUCAGAGCGUGCUGUGUGACAGGGUCCUUGGCACAGCACACUGGCGUAAUUUACCCUGUAACUCACUGAGAGGUUCAUCAAAUACCUCAAAUGCCUUUGCAUUCAGAUUCAUCCCUAAUCCUCUGGACAUUCAGUUAUCAAGAGAAGCUGGAUGAACUUCGUCUGAACUGUCAUCAUUGAGAAGUGGGGGAAAUUCCAUUUCUUUCUUGUAUGUGCUGCGACUUGUCCCUGGGGGGCAGCGGGGGGACUUCAGUACAAAAGUAGGUGUAGCUUCCUGGGAGAGGGCCUUCUCAGAUCCGGGCAUUGCAAAGACUACCUCAGGAAAGGCAGCUGGUGCUGGUUCGCUGUGACCCUGAGAUUCAGGAGCUGCGGCAGUGGCAGAAGAA